rnacentral:rRNA from 1 species
UACGGAGGGGGUUAGCGUUGUUCGGAAUGACUGGGCGUAAAGGGCACGUAGGCGGUGAAUCGGGUUGGAAGUGAAAGUCGCCAAAAAUUGGCGGGGUGCUUUCGGAACCAAUUCACUUGAGUGAGAUAGGGGAGAGUGGAAUUUCGUGUGUAGGGAUCAAAUCCGGAGAUCUACGAAGGAACGCCAAAAGCGAAGGCAGCUCUCUGGGUCUACACUGACGCUGGGGUGCGAAAGCAUGGGGAGCGAACAGG